UACGUAGGGCGCAAGCGUUAUCCGGAAUUAUUGGGCGUAAAGAGCUCGUAGGCGGUUUGUCGCGUCUGCUGUGAAAGACCGGGGCUCAACUCCGGUUCUGCAGUGGGUACGGGCAGACUAGAGUGCAGUAGGGGAGACUGGAAUUCCUGGUGUAGCGGUGAAAUGCGCAGAUAUCAGGAGGAACACCGAUGGCGAAGGCAGGUCUCUGGGCUGUAACUGACGUGAGGAGCGAAAGCAUGGGGAGCGAACAGGA
rnacentral:rRNA from 1 species